GGGUAUUGUUGCAAAAGG
rnacentral:snRNA from 1 species